GAUGAACGCUAGCGGGAGGCCUAACACAUGCAAGCCGAGCGGUAUUGUUUCUUCGGAAAUGAGAGAGCGGCGUACGGGUGCGUAACACGUGUGCAACCUGCCUUUAUCUGGGGGAUAGCCUUUCGAAAGGAAGAUUAAUACUCAAUAAUAUAUUGAACGGCAUCGUUUAAUAUUGAUAGCUCCGGCGGAUAGAGAUGGGCACGCGCAAGAUUAGCUAGCUGGUGAGGAAACGGCUCACCAAGGGUAUGAUCUUUAGGGGGCCUGAGAGGGUGAUCCCCCACACUGGUACUGAGACACGGACCAGACUCCUACGGGAGACAGCAGUGAGGAAUAUUGGUCAAUGGGUGCAAGCCUGAACCAGCCAUCCCGCGUGAAGGACGACUGCCCUAUGGGUUGUAAACUUCUUUUGUAUAGGGAUAAACCUACCCUCGUGAGGGUAGCUGAAGGUACUAUACGAAUAAGCACCGGCUAACUCCGUGCCAGCCGCCGCCGUAA
rnacentral:rRNA from 1 species